CCAUCUUCUUCUUCCUCUUUCUGUCUUUCCCGUCUCUCCCUCUCAGAUCUCUCACUUCUCUUCCUCUCUUCACUGAAAUAGCACAGGGACACACACACCCACACGCUGAGGCACACUCGUACUCGGAGAAGCCAUCAUCGUCAUCAUUCCUCAUCCUUCUCUCUCCCUAUUUCCCGUGCUGUGAGGACAGAAACCCGGAAAGGAACUAUGGCAAGAUUUUUCUAUUCUCCGGUUAGGACGAAAUCGACUUGGGUGUAAGCACACCCAUCUCCGGUGAACUCGGUGGUGUCGAUGAAUUUUCCGUCCAUCUCCGGCCGUUUUACGGCGAAAGGAAGGGAUAUAUUCUGGUUCGUCCGGGGCGACGGUUUGGUGUUGGCAUAGGGCAUGGAGUGUGUUUCCUUUGACUAUUUAGCACAGAGACGGGGAGCCGGCAUGGGGCCUGGAGGUUAUCGGACAAUUCACUAGUGUUUAUUACAUAUACAAGACCUAUGAACGAGGAUUACGAUUUAAGCUACGAGACUUUUCCCUACCAGUGAUUCAGUGUUAUAUUUCUUCUACUUUGACAUCUAUUGUAAUAUAGCACUUCUCUAUCUUAAAUUCUGUUUGUACUCUGUAAUAAACGUAUGCUCUGAACUUAUGUGUAUGACCAUAAUUUUAUUAAUUAGUAGUUGAACUUUAGUAUUAUGUUGUUA